UGGGGAAUAUUGCACAAUGGGCGCAAGCCUGAUGCAGCCAUGCCGCGUGUGUGAAGAAGGCCUUCGGGUUGUAAAGCACUUUCAGCGAGGAGGAAGGUGGUGAGCUUAAUACGCUCAUCAAUUGACGUUACUCGCAGAAGAAGCACCGGCUAACUCCGUGCCAGCAGCCGCGGUAAUACGGAGGGUGCAAGCGUUAAUCGGAAUUACUGGGCGUAAAGCGCACGCAGGCGGUUUGUUAAGUCAGAUGUGAAAUCCCCGGGCUCAACCUGGGAACUGCAUUUGAAACUGGCAAGCUAGAGUCUCGUAGAGGGGGGUAGAAUUCCAGGUGUAGCGGUGAAAUGCGUAGAGAUCUGGAGGAAUACCGGUGGCGAAGGCGGCCCCCUGGACGAAGACUGACGCUCAGGUGCGAAAGCGUGGGGCAGCAAACAGGAUUAGAUACCCUGGUAGUCCACGCUGUAAACGAUGUCGAUUUGGAGGUUGUGCCCCUUGAGGCGUGGCUUCCGGAGCUAACGCGUUAAAUCGACCGCCU
rnacentral:rRNA from 1 species